GUUGGAAUGAAACCAAAUAUAGUAUCUGAUACCUAUCUCACAAAAGUUAUCUGUACAAAAAGAAUGAAUCAAAAUAGAAAGCAAGGAAUAGUUUGCAUGGGGGAGCAGUUGCUGCAAUAAGCAACCAAUUUACAGUAAUUCAGUGUAUAAAUUAUCCAAGUAAAAAAAAAGCCAAAAACAAAUGGUCCUAUUUUUUAAAUUUUCUUUCUUGGUUUAUCCUUAAUGUCAGGCCUCUGAGCCCAAGCUAAGCCAUCAUGUCCCCUGUGACCUGCACAUACACAUCCAGAUGUCUGGUUCCUGCCUUAACUGAUGAUAUUCCACCACAAAAGAAGUGAAAAUGGCCUGUUCCUGCCUUAACUGAUGACAUUGUCUUGUGAAAUUCCUUCUCCUGGCUCAUCUGGCUCAAAAGCUCCCCUACUGAGCACCUUGGGACCCCCACUCUGCCCACCAGAGAACAACCCCCCUUUGACUGUAAUUUUCCUUUAUCUACCCAAAUCCUAUAAAACGGCCCCACCCGUAUCUCCCUUCUCUGACUCUCUUUUCGGACUCAGCCCACCUGCACCCAGGUGAAAUAAACAGCCUUGUUGCUCACACAAAGCCUGUUUGGUGGUCUCUUCACACAGACACACAUGAAAUUUGGUGCCAUGACUCGGAUUGGGGGACCUCCCUUGGAAGAUCAAUCCCCUGUCCUCCUGUUUUUUGCUCCAUGAGAAAGAUGCACCUAUGACCUCAGGUCCUCAGACUGACCGGCCCAAGAAACACCUCACCAAUUGCAAAUCUGGUAAGCAGCCUCUUUUUACUCUCUUCUCCAACCUCCCUUACUAUCCCUCAACCUCUUUCUCCUUUCAAUCUUGGUGCCACACUUCAAUCUCUCCCUUCUCUUAAUUUCAAUUCCUUUCAUUUUCUGGUAGAGACAAAUGAGACACAUUUUAUCGGUGGACCCAAAACUCCAGCGCCGGUCACGGACUGGGAAGGCAGCCUUCCCUUGGUGUUUAAUCAUUGCAGGGAUGCCUCUCUGAUUAUUCACCCACAUUUCAGAGGUGUCAGACCAUGCAGGGACACCUGUCUUGGUCCUUCACCCUUAGCAGCAAGUCCUGCUUUUCUGGGGAAGGGGAAAGUACCCCAACCCCUUCUUUCCAUGUCUUUACCCCUUCUCUGCUUUUCUGGGGGAGGGGCAAGAACCCCUCAACCCCUUCUCCUUCACCCUUAGCAAGUCCUGCUUUUCUAGGGGGCAAGAACACCCAAUCCCUUAUUUCUGCACCUCAACCUCUUAUCUCUGCACCCCAAUCCAUUAUUUCCACUCCCCAGCCUCUUAUCUCUGUGCCCUAACCCCUUCUGUGCCCCGAACCCUUUCUCACUUUUCUGGAGGGUAAGAACCCCCAAACCCCUUCCAUCCAUGCCUCUACUCCCUCUUUUCUCUGGGCUUGCCUCCUUCACUAUGGGCAACCUUCCACCCUCCAUUCCUCCUUCUCCCUUAGCCUGUGUUCUCAAGAACUUAAAAUCUCUUUAACUCACACCUCACCUAAAACCUAAAUGCCUUAUCUUCUUCUGCAACACUGCUUGGCCCCAGUACAAACUUGAAAAUGACUUUAAUGGCCAGAAAAUGGCACUUUCGAUUUCUCCAUCCUACAAGACCUAAAUAAUGUUUGUUGAAAAGUGGGCAAACGGUCUGAGGUGCCUGACGUCCAGGCAUUCUUUUGCACAUUGGUCCCUCCUUAGUCUCUGUGCCCAGUGCAACUCCUCCCAAAUCUUCCUUCUUUCCCUCCCACCUGUCCCCUCAGCCCCAACCCCAAGCGUUGCUGAGUCUUUCUAAUCUUCCUUUUCUACAGACCCAUCUGACCUCUCCCCUCCUCACCAGGCCAAGCUAGGUCCCAAUUCUUCCUCAGCCUCUGCUCCUCCACCCUAUAAUCCUUUUAUCACCUCCCCUCCUCACACCCAGUCCAGCUUACAGUUUUGUUCCGUGACUAGCCCUCUCCCACCUGCCCAGCAAUUUACCCUUAAAAAGGUGGCUGGAGCUAAAGGCAUAGUCAAGGUUAAUGUUCCUUUUUCUUUAUCCCAAAUCAGAUAGCAUUUAGGCUCUUUUACAUCAAAUAUAAAAAUCCAGCCCAGUUCAUGGCUCAUUUGGCAGCAACCCUGAGAUGCUUUACAGCCCUAGACCCUAAAAGGUCAAAAGGCUGUCUUAUUCUCAAUAUACAUUUUAUUACCCAAUCUGCUCCCAACAUUAAAUAAAAUGCCAAAAAUUAAAUUCCAGCCCUCAAACCCCACAACAGGACUUAAUUAACCUCACCUUCAAGGUGUACAAUAAUAGAGUAGAGGCAGCCAAGUAGCAACAUAUUUCUGAGUUGCAAUUCCUUGCCUCCACUGAGACAAAUCCCAGCCUCAUCUCCACCACACAAGAACUUCCAAAUGCCUGAACCACAGCAGCCAGGCAUUUCUCCAGAACCACCUCCCCCAGGAGUUUGCUACAAGUGCCAGAAAUCUGGCCAUCAGGCCAAGGAAUGCCCGCAGCCUGGGAUUCCUCCUAAGCCAUGUCCCAUCUGUGCAGGACCCCAUUGAAAAUUGGACUGUUCGACUCACCUGGCAGCCACUCCCAGAGCCCCUGGAACUCUGGCCUAAGGCUCUCUGACUGACUCCUUCCCAGAUCUUCUCGGUUUAGCGGCUGAAGACUGACACUGCUGGAUUGCCUCAGAAGCCCCGUAGACCAUCAUGGAUGCCGAGCCUUAAGUAACUCUCACAGUGGAGGAUUCAAGAGAAUCAAAAUAUACUGCAUGAAAACAACCAAUUAAACAAAGAAGUUGUGAGAACACUGUAUUCCAAGAAAGAACUACUAACUGUAAUGGAGUCUGAUUUCAAGCAUCGAGUCUAUUUCCAGGCACCCAGUGACCAGGGCUGACAACUUGCCCCAGACCACCAGCCUCCCCACUGAGAAAGCAAGAGGACUCACAGUUCUUCAGCAUCUCAGGGAGCCUACAGUGGCAAUCCAGUUUCUUCAAAGCAUCUGUGGAUUCUCUCAGCUUUCCUGGAUAAGGGAAGAGAAAUGAAGAGAAGUUGUGAAAUUGAAUUGAGCUAAAUAUCGUUAGAGAUUCUGGAACGGGAUUCUAUGAAGCCACACUGGCCUUGUUUUGUUUUGCGAACAUCUGCGGCAUACUCCCACCUCAAGAUCUUGGCAAAUGUUACAUCCUCUGAUUGGAAUGCUCUUCCCAGAUGGCCACAAGUUUUGCUCUCUGAUCUUCCUCAAAUUUUUCCUUAAAUAUAAAACUUUUUCCUGAUCAUUCUACUUAAAAUUUCAACCCCACAGUGUUUUCCUAGUUUCUUGUCUUUUACCUAAUGCACUUAUAACUUUUUAAAAUACUUUUACAGAUUGGUUUGUCGAAUGCUAUAUAUAUUAUUUCUUUAAAAUUUGUUUGCCUACAAAUGUAUUUAUUAAAUUUGUCUUCUGCCUCCCCCAAGGAAUACAAGCUUCAAUAGUUCUAAAAAAGUAAACAUAAAAUAAAAUAAAAUAAAAAUAAAAAUUCAUGCACUGGAAAGACAAAUUUAGAAUUUAAGAAUAAACUUAAAAAUAAAGAUAUUCAUGAGAAAGUGACAUUUUAAUGAAUGUUGGAAAUGUAACCAAUGCUUUUGAAUAGGAUCACUAAAGAUAAAGUGAACUCAUUCAAAUUUAACGUAUUAAUUUAAUACAUAAUAAUCCCAGCAUUUAAAGAAUUAUCUAAAAUUAUAUUCAAAUUAUGGGAGAAAUAAGUUCCCCCACAUAGGCAAGGAAAAUAUUGAAAAUAUAAUUUAAAUUAUAAUUCAAAGUAAUGGAAUCUGAAUAUUUUCCACAUCAGUGAUCCUGCACAAGUGAUUUUUCCAGUCCAUUUCCAUGAGUAAUGCAGUCCAUUUGAUUAGCUUUCAAAGUGUAGCUUCUCAAUGCUUUAGACUCACAAAUACAUGACAAGUGUUAAAAAGGUUUGCUAAUCUAUUUUAUAGUCUUCUCUUGUUCAACCCACAAUGUAAUUUUUUCAAUCAUAAUUAUACAGUGGUGUGUUGUGAAUUUGAAGAACAAAGAUUCAAAAUAUUUUGCAUUUUAGAAAUUGUCUGUAGGUUAUAGAAAUAAAGAGUAAAAAUAAUAGAAUAUUUUAAGAUGUUUGAUUAUUUCCAGUGAAGAUGUAGAAUUUGAUUCUAUUUUUAAAUUUUUUUUUAGAAUUACCAUGUGUUACAUGUGAGUUUAUUGCUAUCUGAAUUGUUACAAAGAAAGAAUCUCUGUCCAUUUUCUGUUUAUUAAAUUUAGAAUGUUAAAUGUUUUUCUUAGUAUCCCUAUCCCAUCAAUUUUUUUUUCAUUCAUAAUGUGUAUUACUUUGGGUUCUCCAGAGAAACAAAACGAAUAGCAUAAGUAGAUAGAUAGCUAUAGAAAGAUAGCUAUACAAAUAUAUCUACCUUUAGUUUAGUCUAUCUUUAGUUUAUCUUUAGUCUCUCAGUUUCUAAGUUUUCCAUAUGCUUAGGAAAUCCUCAGAAUUAGGGCACAUGGUGAGACUUAUAGUUAUUGUUUAACAUUUUUCUGCAGCAAGGAAAAAGAAAGGAGAAAUUUGGGGUUCUGAGAAUAGACAAAUAAAGGUGGGUACUCAAGGAGGUGUGGAAUCCAGGUGGCAGCUGUUUCUUCUCCAUUCAGAUUAUCUUGGUUACUUGAACAUACAAAUGACAAAACUGGCACUUUGCCACUGAAAGUUUAAUUUAUCUUGAAUGUUAGCAUAAUUUUAGAAUUUAUUAUACUACAAGAAAAGAAAAAGCAUGCGACGUGUUUUGUUUUCUUUUCCUAUGACCUUCAGGCGGUCAACUACUUUAUUAUGUAAACCUAUGCUAAACUAUCCAAUUGCCUCCCACUGCCUGGUAAUUUUUGUAAAUUUAGAAAUAAUUAUAUAUUUUCAGAAAAGUUGCAAGAAUAGUACAAAAAAUUUUCACACAAUUGUCACCUAUAUUCCCCUAUUUUUUCACAUUUGCUUUAUUACUCCCUUUAAUAUAUACAUAUAUACAUAUGAAAUAAUAAUUUUAAAUUGCAAACAUGGUAUUGCUGUACUCCUAAAUACUUCAGUGUGCAUUAUCUCCAUAAGGAACAUUCCCUUAAUAUUACCACAAUUAACAUAACAGGACAUUAACAUUGAUACAAUAUUUUACACAAUCAAUUGCUCCUUUCUGAUUCCUUGGUUUAUAAUUUCCUUUUAAACAUUAGGACACACAUACUAUGAGGCAAUUUUUUUUGUUGUUUUCGCUUUAAUAAGCACCAAAUGUUAUUUUGAUUAGAUUAAAAUAGAUCUAUGUCAUGGUUUUUAUUCUUACAUAAUACUACACUAUGAAUUCACCAAAAUUGGCCAAUAUGAUCUUCAAAAUUUUGUGGAGAAAAUGUCCAAGAAUAUGCAAGCAAAAUAGUAGAAUAUAAUUAAAAUUAUAGUUUUUCUGCAACAGAGUCAUAUGAGAUAGCCCAUCUUCAUUGGUAAACAUUUUUAUGAGUGCCAUUAAUCUCUACCUCUCUUGUAAAUCCACUCAUUACACUGUAUUGUUACUACACAUUUAUGCAUCUUCAAAUCCCACUAGACUGUUAGACUGCAAAAUUAGUACAGGCAGAAACUGUGCCUCCUUCGUUAACUAAUGCAUUGUGGAUACUGAAUCAACUGGUUGAAUGAAUAAGUGAAUAGUAAGUAUGACAUAGAAGCGAAUCUAGCUGCUACCUUGUUAUGAAAUCAAAGGCCAUCAGGAGUAAUCCUCCUUACUCUCCUGUUUGACCUACCCAAACUGUUAUCAACAUGUAUGUCUAUACUAACUUUUCUUCUAAUUGCAGAAGAGUAGGUGUGCCCUCCUCAUGUCUCCUGCUUCUUAUUCCAUCCUUAGGUUCCAGGCUCUUGCUCUGUUGGUCAUACAUAGUAUUCCUCUCCUAUGUCUUCAACUAUUUUUUCUUUUUUUUUUUUGUUUUUUUCUUGCCCAUAUCAAAAAUGUAGACUUUGCUCUCCCAUCAAAUAAAGCCAUCUCUUUUUUCUACUCCCUGUAGCCACCAUCUAGUCUCUUACUUCCCCUUUUCCUGCUGAGCUUCCUAAAAGCAUAGCUUGUUAUAUAUUUCUGUUAUCUCCCAUUUAUUUCUCAACUACCCUUGAUCUAGAUUCAUUUCUUAAUACUUCUAAAGGUAGUUCUGGCUUAAACAAUGGCAUGUGUAUUUUCAUAUUUUGUGGACACGAUUCCAUCUUGAUUGACCCUCUGCUCCCUGACAUCAUUCUCUCUGGUUUCUAUACUUUGGAAUUUAGUUGGAUUUAAUGUUUCUUGAAUGGACAAAUCCAUUUCCUGCAUAUAUUUUACUAGAAUUGAGUAGUCACCUAGAGAAUGCCAUGUAGAUGACAGCAGAACAGGCCAAGACAUAUUGCUUGUUCCAUUUUUCUUCAUUUCAUCUUGAUAUGGUUUGGCUUUGGCUCUGUGUUCCCACCCAAAUCUCAUCCCGAAUCCCCAUGUGUUGAAGGAGGGACCUGGUGGGAGGUGACUGGAUCACAGGAGCUUUUUCCUUAACACUGUUCUCAUGACAGUGAGUGAGUUCUCACGAGAUCUGAUGGUUAAAAGUGUGGCACUUCCCCUAAUUCUCUCUCUCUCUCCUGCUGCUAUGUAAUAUGUGCCUUGCUUCCCCUUUGCCUUCUGCCAUGAUUGUUUCACCCUCAUGGGGGGCCUCCCCUGCCAUGAGGAGCUGUGAGUUAAACUUCUUUUUUUUUUAAUAAAUUACUCAGUCUCAGGUAGUUCUUUACAGCAGUGUGAAAAUGGACUAAUACACACCUCAUUUUACUUUUAUUAAGAUAAAGAACAUUUUAAAAUGCAUUCUGAAAACUCAUUAACAGCACACUGAGUGAAUCAUUGUUAAAUUAAAUGUUUCUAUGUCAAUUUAUCUGGUAAUUUUCUCUUCAUUACUAUGAUAGCCAUCCAAAGAUAAGGUUCCUUUUUAUUUAACAUGAGGAAGGCGCCAACAAAAUUAUAAUGCUUUGGGACACAGAAAAAUUUAUGAGAAAUGUUACCGUGUAUACUGCAAAAUAAGACUGAGCUUCACCCAUGAGCUGAUGAAAUCCAUUAUAUAGUAUUUUCAUUUUGAAUAUUUCUUGUUUUCUGAAGGUCUGAAUAAAUCUUAAAUUGAGUAAAUCAGGAGGUACUAAGCUUCAUGGUGGUUAAGAAAAGAGGGAAGAAGUAUUUAAGUCUACAAAAUGUAUGUGUUUAAAAUAAUUAUAAAUGAUAUUUUAUAGAGAAUAAUUUGAAGAAAAUAUAAUGAUCUUAUCACUAAAUUCAUAAAAGUAUAAAUUGUGGAUUAUGUUUUUAUAUUUUUGAU
rnacentral:lncRNA from 1 species